rnacentral:tRNA from 1 species
GACUUUGUGGUAUAGUCGAUAGUGCGCCCGGCCGGCAAACGGGAGGCGUAGGUGAGAACCUUGCCAGAAUUG